CCCUUAGAUGUCCUGGGCCGCACGCGCGCUACACUGAGUGUCUGAGAUACGAGUCUGCCUGGUCCGGCAAGGUCUAGGUAAUCGCUAAAAGACACAUCAUGCUUGGGAUAGAUUAUUGCAAAUAUUAAUCUUGAACGAGGAAUUCCUAGUAAGCGCAAGUCAACAGCUUGCAUUGAUUACGUCCCUGCCCUUUGUACACACCGCCCGUCGCACCUACCGAUUGAAUGGUUCGGUGAAGAUCUCGGACUUCGAUAUUUAUUCUUUAUUGAGUUUAUAUUGUGGGAAGUUAUCUAAACCUCAUCAUUUAGAGGAAGGUGAAGUCGUAACA
rnacentral:rRNA from 1 species